CGCGGUAUUUUGACCGUGCGAAGGUAGCAUAAUCAUUAGUCCUUUAAUUGGGGGCUUGUAUGAAAGGUUGGACGAGAAAUUAGCUGUCUUUAUAAAAGAGGUAGAAUUUGACUUUUAAGUGAGAAGGCUUAAAUAUUCUAAGGGGACGAUAAGACCCUAUAAAGUUUGACAUGUCUUAUGUUAAGGAAAAAAAUAAGGAGAAAAAUUUUUUUAGUAUAAUAUUGUUUUGUUGGGGCGACUAGGAUAUAAGAGAUUUAACUAUUCUAUAUUAUACACAGAGAUAAUUGAAUUCUUGAACUUUAUUAGAAAUAGUAGAAUAAAUUACUUUAGGGAUAACAGCGUAAUUUUUUUUGAGAGUUCUUAUCGACAAAAAAGUUUGCGACCUCGAUGUUGAAUUAAAGAAAUUCUUUAUAGCGAAAAGGUUAUAGAAGAAGGUCUGUUCGACCUUUAA
rnacentral:rRNA from 1 species